GUUGACUUAGCAUGAUUUAAUGCACUUGAUUUAGGAUCAAGCUAUAAUAUUAUAUAUUAGUCGACG
rnacentral:tRNA from 1 species